UUUGAGAACGCAAGACCGAGACAGCGAGACCAAAGUCAGUCGAGACCAAGACGAGACCAAGACCACGUAAAAGUGGUCUCGAGACCAAGACCGGUCUCGAGACAUCCAACUCUACCUAAGCCCCUCAAGUUACUGAGGUUUUUCAUUUCCAUACAUGCAAUGAUAUCAGCUAAGCCAUCAGCCAAUACGACGGGCACUAAUAUGAUCUGAUCUGAACUUGCCUGUGCCUUGGCUCAUGUAACACCAUGGCAUUUGUUUUUUUUCAGUAAGCAACCCAGAGCCCACCAUCUCCUUGUACAGUAAUGAGGUCACCUGGGGUCAGGACGUCAGCAUCACUUGCUCAGUCUCAGAAAAGUUCUCAGGUGGAACUUUUAUCCUCCAGAAGACUUCAGGCUCAUUCAGUCAGAGUCAAACAUCCUCUACGAGCUCUGUUAUAUUCAAUCUUCACAAUGUGAACUUUGAUCAUGAUGGACUGUACCAGUGUCAGUACAUGAAAACAAGUCAAAGGUUCAGCUCUUCCUCUGUCAGACUCUCUGUUACUGGUUUUAGGUGGAUCGUUCACUCUGAGUCAAAUUCAGGGUUCAUUCACGAGGAGCCAAACCUCCAACACAAACUCUGCUACCUUCAGUAUUCCUAACGUGGACUUUGAUAACGAGGGAUUGUACCAGUGUCAGUAUAAUAAAAGAGGCUCAAGUCGUGAAUUCAGCUCCCCAUUAAGUGAUUCGGUCAGACUCUCUGUUGCUGGUAAGAAAAACAAGUAUGGACUAACUCUUGGAACAAAGCGAGAAUAAUAAUAGUGACAUGAAUAAGUGAUUACUGCGUUUUUAUUAUUGAUCCUUUGGUUUUUAUAAACUGUAACAAAGUUAUUAAAAGAGUUUUUCAAUCAUAGCUUUAAACAUAUUUAAUUGUUGUAUAGACAAACAAUGUAUUAAAGACAGGAUCUGUUAUUCUC